rnacentral:rRNA from 1 species
UACAUGGGGUGCAAACGUUGCUCGGAAUUAUUGGGCGUAAAGCGCACGUAGGCGGUUACUCAAGUCGGAUGUGAAAGCCCUCGGCUUAACUGAGGAAGUGCACCCGAAACUGAGUAGCUAGAGUACCAAAGAGGGUCGCGGAAUUCCCGGUGUAGAGGUGAAAUUCGUAGAUAUCGGGAGGAACACCGGUGGCGAAGGCGGCGACCUGGGUGGAUACUGACGCUGAGGCGCGAAAGCGUGGGGAGCAAACAGG